CUUAAAUGAAUUGACGGGGCCCGCACAAGCGGUGGAGCAUGUGGUUUAAUUCGAUGCAACGCGAAGAACCUUACCUGGGCUUGACAUCCCGGGAAUCCCUUAGAAACAAGGGAGUGCCCUUCGGGGAACCUGGAGACAGGUGCUGCAUGGCUGUCGUCAGCUCGUGUCGUGAGAUGUAGGGUUAAGUCCCGCAACGAGCGCAACCCUUGUCUUUAAUUGCCAUCAUUGAGUUGGGCACUUUAAAGAGACUGCCGGUGUUAAACCGGAGGAAGGUGGGGAUGACGUCAAGUCCUCAUGGCCUUUAUGCCCAGGGCUACACACGUGCUACAAUGGGUGGUACAACGAGUUGCGAGUCGGUGACGGCGAGCUAAUCUCUUAAAGCCAAUCUCAGUUCGGAUUGUAGGCUGCAACUCGCCUACAUGAAGUCGGAAUCGCUAGUAAUCGCGGAUCAGCACGCCGCGGUGAAUACGUUCCCGGGCCUU
rnacentral:rRNA from 1 species